UACGGAGGGAGCAAGCGUUGUUCGGAUUUACUGGGCGUAAAGGGCGCGUAGGCGGCCAGCACAAGUCAGUGUUGAAAUCUCCGAGCUUAACUCGGAAAGGUCAACUGAUACUGUGCGGCUAGAGUGCGGAAGGGGCAACUGGAAUUCUUGGUGUAGCGGUGAAAUGCGUAGAUAUCAGGAGGAACACCUGCGGCGAAGGCGGGUUGCUGGGCCGACACUGACGCUGAGGCGCGAAAGCGAGGGGAGCGAACGGG
rnacentral:rRNA from 1 species